UUUUUCUUCAACCACCAAACACCACCAUUGACCACCUUCCUGUUUGCAUCUUUUUGCACCAUCGGACCAUUACACCCUCAGCUACUCCACUGCUGUCGCACCAUAAACAACCGAUAACCAGACUACCAAACCACCUAAUCUUCAAUCCAUGGUUCUUGAUAACUUCACAGAUGAUCAAGGGGCCAGAAUUUUGGUCAAGAAAUUACCUGAAACCAAAUACCCUGCACUAUGUCUAUCCAACAGGAUUCACUCAGACAAUUGAUCGAACACUUGGUGGACAGAGGGUUUCGUACACAAAUCAAUUAAACAAACGAAAAUUCAAUCACAACGCACAAUCAAAGUCAAACGAUUAAACAAAUUGAAUCGAGUAAGAUAGAGACACAUGAUUACCAGCAGAAUAAGAAGAUUAUUUUUUCCAACGCGAUUUACACUCGAGCAUGGCAUCAAGCUCUACAUAAUCACAGCCAGGAGAUAUUUUGUUUCGACUAGCAGCAGCAACAACGAUAGCGACAACAAUGAAAUUAUGAGGAAUUUAACCGUUGAUGUGAUUCCCUACGAGAAUUAAGACCUGUAAAUUUAUACCAAAGGUGUUGCGUCAUGACUAAAGAACUAACCCGUGAGGUUCGUGUCGACGAGAAAAUGAGGUUCGAGUCGACGAGAUUUCCGCCAUUGAUGGGAUUUCCUUGCUAAUCUGUGUCGCCAAAUCAGGGAGAAGAACUACCCUUUGUACACUCGAGUCGUGAUACCUUCCAUCUUCGAGAAGAAGGUUGGGUUGGUGAUGGAACUCAAAUUCACCUUCCGAAGAACGAGAUGCAAAGUAAGGAAGAACGAGAUCCAAAAUACAUAUAUGUUCAUCCCAUAUCGGUAGUGGGAGCAUUCUUUAGAGGAAAACUUAUUCUAUAAAAGGAACUUGUAUCACUUAG
rnacentral:lncRNA from 1 species